CUAAUUCUGGCUUCAAUACCAUGAUCACAAAGGUGCUUUUCCCACGUGAGGCUCAUCCAUUGCACUUUGGAUGUGCUAACUCCUGUGAUUUCCCCAAAUGUGAGAAACUCAACUGCAUAAUUUGUGGUAGUGGGGGAUUGCUUUCAUACUUUCCUCUG
ensembl:snRNA U1 U1 spliceosomal RNA